AUUGAACGCUGGCGGCAGGCCUAACACAUGCAAGUCGAGCGAGAGGCGGACGGGUGAGUAAUGUAUGGGGGCUGCGCGAUAGAGGGGGAGAACAACUGGAAAAGGUAGCUAUUACAGCAUACUAUAGGGUAACCCAUAUGGGAUUAGCGAGUAGGUGAGGUAAUGGCGCACCUAGGCGACGAUCCCUAGCUGGUCUGAGAGGAUGAUCAGCCACACUGUGACUGAGACACGGCCCAGACUCCUACGGAGGCAGCAGUGGGGAAUAUUGCACAAUGGGCGCAAGCCUGAUGCAGCCAUGCCGCGUGUAUGAAGAAGGCCCUAGGGUUGUAAAGUACUUUCAGUCGGGAGGCGUUACCGACAUAAGAAGCACCGGCUAACUCCGUGCCAGCAGCCGCGGUAAUAC
rnacentral:rRNA from 1 species